rnacentral:rRNA from 1 species
UUAGAUACCCCACUAUGCUUAGCCCUUAACACAGAUUUUAACAAUACAAUAUUUUCCGCCAGAGGACUACAAGCGAAAAGCUAGAAACUCCAAGGACUUGGCGGUGCUUUAAACCAACCUAGAGGAGCCUGUCCUAUAAUCGAUACUCCACGCUCUACCUUACCCCUCCUAGCCAACCAGCCUAUAUACCGCCGUCGUCAGCCUACCUUGUGAAAGAGCCACAGUAGGCAAAAUAGUCAAUGCCUAAAACGUCAGGUCAAGGUGUAGCCAAUGGUGGGGGAAGAGAUGGGCUACAUUUUCAUGUAAGAACACACGAAAAGCAUGCUGAAACACAUGCCUAAAGGUGGAUUUAGUAGUAAGACAGACAAGAAAAACUGUCUUAAACCUGCUCUAAAGCGCGCACACACCGCCCG